AGCGAACGCUGGCGGCAGGCUUAACACAUGCAAUUCGAGCGUGCAUCCUUGUGGUGUCAGCGGCAGACGGGUGAGUAACGCGUGGUAACGUGCCCUUCGGUUCGGAAUAACUCAGGGAAACUUGAGCUAAUACCGGAUACGUGCGAGAGCAGAAAGGUUUAUCUGCCGAAGGAUCGGCCCGCGUCUGAUUAGCUAGUUGGUGAGGUUAUGGCUCACCAAGGCGACGAUCAGUAGCUGGUCUGAGAGGAUGAUCAGCCACACUGGGACUGAGACACGGCCAAGACUAAUACGGGAGGCAGCAGUGGGGAAUAAUGGACAAUGGGGGAAACCCUGAACCAGCCAUGCCGCGUGAGUGAUGACGGCAUUAGGGUUGUAAAGCUAUUUUCUUCGGGACGAUAAUGACGGUACCGUAGGAAUAAGCCCCGGCUAACUUCGUG
rnacentral:rRNA from 1 species